rnacentral:tRNA from 1 species
GCCGGGGGUAGACCCGCCGAGGGACAGGCCUAAGCGCUUUCGUAAAGCGCGGGUCGGGGGUUCGAAUCCCUUCCCCGGCUCCA